rnacentral:rRNA from 1 species
UAGGGANUCUUCCGCAAUGGGCGAAAGCCUGACGGAGCAACGCCGCGUGAGUGAUGAAGGUCUUCGGAUCGUAAAACUCUGUUAUUAGGGAAGAACAAAUGUGUAAGUAACUAUGCACGUCUUGACGGUACCUAAUCAGAAAGCCACGGCUAACUACGUGCCAGCAGCCGCGGUAAUACGUAGGUGGCAAGCGUUAUCCGGAAUUAUUGGGCGUAAAGCGCGCGUAGGCGGUUUUUUAAGUCUGAUGUGAAAGCCCACGGCUCAACCGUGGAGGGUCAUUGGAAACUGGAAAACUUGAGUGCAGAAGAGGAAAGUGGAAUUCCAUGUGUAGCGGCGAAAUGCGCAGAGAUAUGGGGGAACACCAGUGGCGAAGGCGACUUUCUGGUCUGUAACUGACGCUGAUGUGCGAAAGCGUGGGGAUCAAACAGGAUUAGAUACCCUGGUAGUCCACGCCGUAAACGAUGAGUGCUAAGUGUUAGGGGGUUUCCGCCCCUUAGUGCUGCAGCUAACGCAUUAAGCACUCCGCCUGGGGAGUACGACCGCAAGGUUG